rnacentral:misc_RNA from 1 species
ACCUGUUGGCCCUGUCCGGAAAUAGGUUUGCUGGAGGAACAUAGCCAUGAGCAUGAAGCUGUGACCCAACACUUGCCACAGACGGGAUGGAGCUUAGCUCCAAGAAUUGAACCAGUUGUGCGUGCAAUAUCUGACUGCAAAUUUCCAUCUUUUCUAGAUGAUACAUCUUGGUUACAUAGAGGUUCUGAUGUGGAUUUAAAAAGCCAGAUAUUACAACUUCAAAGUUGUCUAACAAAG